CGCUCGCGCCUCUCCCUCCACACCUCUCUGCAAGCUGAGGGAGCCGGCUUCGGCCUUGGCCGGCCCAGAAAGGGGCUCCCACAGUGCAGCGGCGGGCUGAAGGGCUCCUCAAGUGCCGCCAAAGUGGGAGCCCAGGCAGAGGAGGCGCCGAGAGCGAGCGAGGGCUGUGAGGGCUGCCCUCAUGCUGUCACCUCUCACCUGGGUCUGGAGCUGCAGCUGUGCCCAGAAGUGUGGGCUCCCGCUGGCCUUGUGGAGCGCACAACUCUGGCCACACCCCCCACUUCAGCCAGUUUCUUCUCAGCAGCCACUCCAGAGGGACCACCUCUGGCAUCUUAAAUACAUUACCAGCUCUGCUCCAAGAUUUUUUCUCCCUGGGAUCAGGCUGGAGUGCAGUGGCAUGAUCAUAGCUCACUGUAACCCCCAACUCCUGGGCUCAAGCAAUUCCCUCCUCAGCCUCCUGAGUGGCUAGAACUUCAGGGAUGUGUCACCACACCCAGGUCUAAGUCAUCAGAAAAGAACAUUAGAACAUUCUCACAGAGCCUUACAAUCUGAAAACCCACUGCCUUUCGAAAGGAUCAGGCAAGUGGUUGGACUAAAUUACAUUCCCGCUGACAGUACGAAUUUGGAAUAGAGAUGUACAAAGACACGAGGGAAAUGCUUGGAAGCUCUCAAGUGCGGAGAAUUCUUUGCACAGACUCCCUCUCUCUGCACAGAUGAACACCAUGAGCUUGCUGGAAGGGGUUCAAAGAACAGCCCACAGCAGCACUCGAGUUUGCUAAAGUGACUGACGUUGGCUUCAGUUUGGAAUCCAAAGGCGACAACUGACAAGGAAGAGCGGAAGGGAAGGGAGAAGUGAGAUUU
rnacentral:lncRNA from 1 species